rnacentral:sRNA from 1 species
UGGACGUGGGAUAAGGGCGUGAAUUGCCCAGAAUGGCUAACUUUUCUUGAAGCGAAAUGCAAGACUUAUUAUAUACAACAUCGCUGGUGGCUUGAGAAGAUGGUGUUUUUCUCCCGCAUCAUAAUCAUGUACAGUGCAUACGGGUUGCGCAAUAAUUCGAUCUGCUCACGGCCCACUUGGUACCAACUUGCUUCACACAUCUGAUAGCCGGCCUGGGCAUUUCAUAUAUUCAGUCGGGCACGACUCGAUUUAUCAAUAUACGUAUAUGUGUAUAUAUUAAAAUAUUAUAUAAAAUCAAUGU